GGGUUGCCUCAGUAGCGGCGAGUGAAGCGGCAAGAGCUCAGAUUUGAAAUCGUGCUUUGCGGCACGAGUUGUAGAUUGCAGGUUGGAGUCUGUGUGGAAGGCGGUGUCCAAGUCCCUUGGAACAGGGCGCCCAGGAGGGUGAGAGCCCCGUGGGAUGCCGGCGGAAGCAGUGAGGCCCUUCUGACGAGUCGAGUUGUUUGGGAAUA
rnacentral:rRNA from 1 species